rnacentral:rRNA from 1 species
UACGUAGGGUGCAAGCGUUGUCCGGAAUUAUUGGGCGUAAAGCGCUUGUAGGCGGCACGUCAAGUCGCGUGUGAAAUCCCCAGGCUUAACCUGGGAAGUGCGCGCGAAACUGACGAGCUUGAGUGCCGGAGAGGGUCGCGGAAUUCCCGGUGUAGAGGUGAAAUUCGUAGAUAUCGGGAGGAACACCAGUGGCGAAGGCGGCGACCUGGACGGACACUGACGCUGAGACGCGAAAGCGUGGGGAGCAAACAGG